rnacentral:tRNA from 1 species
UCCCUGGUGGCUCAGUGAUAAAGAAUCUGCCUGCAAUGCAGGAGUCCCAGGUUCCAUCCUUGGGUAGGGAA